UUUCAAAACCGACAGUGGAAAAUGCCUAACCCGUUUCUCCGCCUAAGAUCAUUCUUGAAGUUUUGGAUCCCCUGCAGAGCACAGCAAGGCUCCGGACUUUGUCCAGCGAGGAGUGACAGGUCUCGGGCCUCUUCCGUCCGCGGGAGGAAGCGGGGCUCCAGGCGGUGCGAGGACUGCGUGUGCCUUCCCCACACCCGCCCUCUGGGGACCUUGCCCCACAGCUUGGCUUUCCAGAGCUUUCUAGCCUACGGGGUCCCAGGGUCGGGACUGCAGGAGAGCCAGCUGGGACCUGACUGCAUCUGAAUCCCGCUGGGACCUGUUGGACCGCGCUUGUGUCGACGCAGUUCCACUCCCUUCACGCCAGGGGCGGCCUACGCGUCCCGAUGUAGAUCACUGCGUGCGUGCACGGAGGUGAAAUGUUUGAAAAAGCAGUUUCAGACUCUUCUUUGAAGAAGGAAGCAAAUGCCUAUGGUGACGAUGUUGAAGGGAGAAUGUUUCAUCCCGGGAUGUCCUACGCCUACUUACCGAUGGCUGUCUGGGAGAGAAGGCCUCGGACAGGAUCAGCAGCAGCUAAAGGCACAGCAGGCUCUUGGCUGCUCCUGAUUCAAAGGCAAUUUAAAAGCUCCAAUGAAGAGGGAAGGGCAAUG
ensembl:lncRNA